UUUAAUAAAGAGUUUGAUCCUGGCUCAGGAUGAACGCUGGCGGCGUGCCUAAUACAUGCAAGUCGAGCGAGAAUUGUGUUCUAUGAAACUUCGGUAGACUAAACACAAGGAAAGCGGCGGACGGGUGAGUAACGCGUAGGCAACCUGCCCUUAGCAGAGGGAUAGCCAUGGGAAACGAUGAUUAAGACCUCAUAAAGCGUAGUUGACACAUGUUGACAAUGCCAAAGAUUUAUCGGCUAAGGAUGGGCCUGCGUCUGAUUAACUGGUUGGUAGGGUAACGGCCUACCAAGGUAACGAUCAGUAGCCGACCUGAGAGGGUGAUCGGCCACAUUGGAACUGAGACACGGUCCAAACUUCUACGGAAGGCAGCAGUAAGGAAUCUUGCACAAUGGGGGGAACCCUGAUGCAGCAACGCCGCGUGAACGAAGAAGGCCUUCGGGUUGUAAAGUUCUGAUCUUGGGGAAGAAAAAGAUGACGGUACCCAAGGAGAAAGCCCCGGCUAACUACGUGCCAGCAGCCGCGGUAAUACGUAGGGGGCAAGCGUUAUCCGGAAUCAUUGGGCGUAAAGGGUGCGUAGGUGGUCAAUAAAGUCAGAGGUGAAAGGCUAGGGCUCAACCGUAGUAAGCCUUUGAA
rnacentral:rRNA from 1 species